UACGUAGGGUCCGAGCGUUGUCCGGAAUCACUGGGCGUAAAGGGCGCGUAGGCGGCCUGAUAAGUAGGGGGUGAAAUCCUGCGGCUUAACCGCAGGGCUGCCUUCUAAACUGUCAGGCUUGAGCACAGUAGAGGCAGGUGGAAUUCCCGGUGUAGCGGUGGAAUGCGUAGAGAUCGGGAAGAACAUCAGUGGCGAAGGCGGCCUGCUGGGCUGUUGCUGACGCUGAGGCGCGACAGCGUGGGGAGCAAACAGG
rnacentral:rRNA from 1 species